rnacentral:SRP_RNA from 1 species
GUCGAGCUUGGUAACUUUAACUUGUAACCCGAGUGGGGACAUUAAGGUGAUGUAAGAAACAAUAUUGGACCUAGUACUGGGUGGAGCUUAAUUAGUGUUUGAGAAAAUACUGCCCUACCUGGUUGUCCCCUAAUAAAUGUUGCGUCAACCAUCAUUUUU